rnacentral:rRNA from 1 species
UAGUAGUUGAGCUUGGUGAUGGCUCUGAUUGAACACUGUCUAAGUGCUUGACACAUGCUAAUCGAACGUUUUAAUUUAAGUUAUAAUUAAAAAGUGGUGUACAGGUGAGUAUAAUAAUAUUUCAUGCCGGCCUUAAAGUGAAGAUAAAUUCUUCAUAAAACAAAGGGAUUACCGCUUUAAGAGGACGAUAGAUAUUAACGAGAUAGGUAGUAGUGAAGGUUAUGUCUUGACUAGCCUUAAUUCUCGUAGUCGAAGCUGAAAGGUUAAUCGAUCACAUUGGGUCUGAAAAAAGCCCAAUGCAAGUUAGUACAGCAGUGAGGAAUAUUGGUCAAUGGCCUAACGGCUGAACUGGCAACUUGGAGAAGUGUUAAGUCUUUAUUUUUGUGCUAAGCUUAGGCUUAGUUUGACAUAAGCAAAAUUAAAGAUUAAAUUAGUAUUGAAUGAAACUUUGUUUAUAUAUCGAUAAUGACGAUAUAUAUAUUAUGUCUUGACUAAUUACGUGCCAGCAGUCGCGGUAAUACGUAAAAGACUAGUGUUAUUCAUGUUAACUAGGUUUAAAGGGUACUCAAACGGUCUGUUUCGCAUAAAAGACUAGAGUUAUAUAGAAGAAGGUAGUACCUUAAGUGUAGAGAUUAUAUUUAGUCAUACUGUAGGGACUUAGAAAAGGCGUAGGCAACCUUUUAAGUAAUAACUGACGUUGAAGGACGAAGGCAUAGGUCACGAACAGGAUUAGAUACCCUAGUAGUCUUUGCAGACAAUGAUGAAUGCCGUAGGUUAGAUAAAAAAUUUAGUCUAUAAAUGAAAAUGUAAGCAUUUCACCUCAAGAGUAAUGUGGCAACGCAGGAACUGAAAUCACUAGACCGUUUCUGACACCAGUAGUGAAGUAUGUUGUUUAAUUCGAUGAUCCACGAAAAACCUUACCACAAUUUGUAUAUUUUACAGGAGUUGCACGGCUGUCUGCAGUUGAUGUUGUGAAAUAAUGGUUUCCAUGAAUUAACACAAUCCCUUGCUUUAUUUUUGUAUUAUAAGCUUUGCUUAUUAAUUACUAUAAAGCAUUUGACUCAAGAAUAUGGGAAGAAAAAAGGGAGUAAGACAAGUCAUCAUGGCCUUAAUAUUGUGGGCUAUAGACGUGCCACAUAAGCCUACACAAAGAGAUGCAAAAAUGUGAAUUCUAGCAAAUCUCCAAAAUAGGAAAUAAAAAGGAUUGUAGUCUGAAAUUCGACUAUAUGAAUAAGUAAUUACUAGUAAUCGUGAAUCACCAUGUCACGGUGAAUGUUUCUCGGAUUGGUACUAACCACUCGUCGCAUGCUGAAAGGAAUUUGUACAAUAAGUUUGCUCUUUUAUAAUAACAAAAUAAAAUAAUUAGAUUUUAUAAAUAUUAUUAUAAAAUUCUUCAUAUGUAUAAAUCUGAUCAGUGUUAAGUCGAAAUACGGUUCGCGUAGCGGAAGUUGCGCGGGAAUAAUUAAUCUU